GAUGAAGAACGCAGUGAAAUGCGAUACGUAAUGUGAAUUGCAAAUUCAGUGAAUCAUCGAGUCUUUGAACGCACAUUGCGCCCCCUGGUAUUCCGGGGGGCAUGCCUGUCCGAGCGUCAUUGCUGCCCUCAAGCACGGCUUGUGUGUUGGGCCCCGUCCUCCGAUCCCGGGGGACGGGCCCGAAAGGCAGCGGCGGCACCGCGUCCGGUCCUCGAGCGUAUGGGGCUUUGUCACCCGCUCUGUAGGCCCGGCCGGCGCUUGCCGAUCAACCCAAAUUUUUAUCCAGGUUGACCUCGGAUCAGGUAGGAGUUACCCGCUGAACUUAAGCAUAUCAAUAAGCGGAGGA
rnacentral:misc_RNA from 1 species